GAAGCGAAUUGGGAGCUUCCUGAUUACCCGAAGCAGGAAGUAGGAUCAUUCCAAGAGGAGCCUGAUACCUCUGCUCUGCCUCAAUGUCUACGCCAACUGGUGGUGCAGCCGAUGAAGGUGAAGAAAUAGUAGCACCAAAGCUAGCAAGACUGUGUAACUUGUGAUUGUAUCCAAAGCAGCAAAAUCAUGCAAACUGUAAAUUGUCUUACAAUUGAAUAAAAAGUAAUGCUGAUUGUUGCAGGCUCA
rnacentral:lncRNA from 1 species